GGGCGCGGUGGCUCAAGCCUGUAAUCCCAGCACUUUGGGAGGCCGAGGCGGGUGGAUCACAAGAGAUCGAGACCAUCCUGGUUAACAUGGUGAAACCCCGUCUCUACUAAAAAUACAAAAAAUUAGCUGGGCAUGGUGGCGCGUGUCUGUAAUCCCAGCUACUCAGGAGGCUGAGGCAGGAGAAUUGCCUGAACCCAGGAGGCAGAGGUUGCGGUGAGCCGAGAUCGCGCCAUUGCACUCCAGCCUGGGUAACAAGAGCGAAACUCCGUCUCAAAAAAAAAAGAGAAGGGACACAGACACAGACACCCAGAGGAAAGAGAGACAUGCAAAGAUAAUGACAACUGGAGUUAUGUCGUCACAAGCAAGGAACUCCUGGGGCCACAAGAUAUGGAAGAGGUAAAGGAGGAUUCUGCCUUAGAGGCUUCAGAGGAAUAUAGCCAAGCCCACAGACUACAAAAGGAAUUAAUAUAUAAAGCAAUAAUUCCUGAAUCAUUAACAUGUAUGUAGACUGGCAAAACUGCUUCAGGAAGAGAAAGAAAAAGAUAGAGAAUCACAGUGUGGCUCCUCAAUCAAGUGAUACAAUCUAUUUCUGCUCUAUUAAAUUGAGUUUGCUUUGUGACUUGCUAUGGCUAAUGGGACAACAAGGAACAUGACAGCAACCUGCUGAAUGAUGAGAAGACAUGUGGCCGUCACCCCAGAGACAUCAAGGCAAUUUUCGAAAGUGUAAGUGAGUCACUUCCUCUGCAAAACCAACCAGCUGUUAACUAUAAAACAUUCAGCCCCAGCUAAGUCAGUAGACAUCAACCAACUCAAAACUAGAAUAAACAUCGCUUGUUUUAAGUCACUAAGUUGUGAAGUAGAUCAUUAUACUAUCUUAUCCAUGACCUUAAAGUAGUACUCUCUCAAAUCAUAUUGGGAUCAUGUAUGAGGACCUGAAUUCUAUUGAAGUCACUAAUUUGCAUAAGUAGGACUCUAUCUUUCAAAUUUGGUAGGAACAUUCUACCAGGAAUUAAUGUGUCUAAGGCAAUGCAUUGAUAUAUAGUUCCUAUCUAUUUCUCAUGAUGAGCAAUUAUGUCAUAAGCAUCUAUCUCAGUCCAUUUGUGCUGCUAAAACAAAAUACCUGAGAUGGCGUAAUUUAUAAAGAAUGAAAAUUUAUUUUCUUGCAGUUCUGGAGGCUGAGAAGCCCAUGAUUAGGAACUGGAACAUUCAGUGUCUGGUAAGGGCUGCUCUCUGUUUCCAAGAUGGUGCCUCCUGCUGCGUCCUCACAUUAGCGAAGGCAUAAGAGCAAAAGAAAACCUACCUACUUUCCUCUAGCCCUUUUAUAAGGCCAUUAAUCCAUUCAUUAGGGCAUUGCCCUCAUGGCCUAAUCACCUCCUAAAGGUCUACCUUUUAAUACUAAUACACUUACGCUGAGGAUUAACUUUCAGUAUGAAUUUUGGCAGGGAUACAAACGUUCAAACCAUAGCAGCAUCCAAGCAGUUAAUCAAUAUAGAAACCACAGAGGCAUUUCUGCCC